CUCUUCUCCUACCCCAUUUGUUAUCACAGGAAAGGACAAUGUGUUCUUAGCCUAGCAGAACACUUCCAGCCAGCUGGUUACAGGGACCAAAUGAGAGGAGCUGUGAGUUCUGGGCUACUAACAGUUAUCUUGCUCUCUGUGGGGAAGAAGAGGAAGGGGAAGGAGGAAGAGGAUGAGGAGGAAGAAGAGACAGCCUUGAAGACAUUAUUUUACCCCUCCCCAAACAUACUUCUGGUUGAAACAGAAAAGUGGAACAGCAGCAACAACUUAAAGUAGAAUUCCUGACAAGCACGCACAGCUGGUCCUUCCACUCGACAUCUCCAGAGAGCAUCUCUCACCUCUUACCUGGCGCCCUGUACUGUCCUCUGCUUCGCCCUCUGCAUGAGAAAAUUACUGGUGACAAAUGCAUGAGAAUAAUGGGCACGGAAGAAAAGAAAGCGGCUCUUGUGCCACUAAACCCCAGCUGUCAGGAAGCAUCUCUAAUGCCACGAGUACAAAUCCUAAUUGUUUCUUGGAAGUGAUCUCUUUGUGCCAACUCAAGCCAGAAGACACGCAGCAUUCAUCACUUUAUGCCAUAAUGAGGCUCUGUAGUGUGAACACAGUGGGAUCUG